UACAGAGGGUGCAAGCGUUGUUCGGAAUUAUUGGGCGUAAAGGGCGCGUAGGCGGUGCUGUAAGUCUGUAGUGAAAUCUCUGGGCUCAACUCAGAGUCUGCUAUAGAAACUGCAGUGCUGGAGUGUGGGAGAGGUGAGUGGAAUUCCCGGUGUAGUGGUGAAAUGCGUAGAGAUCGGGAGGAACACCUGUGGCGAAGGCGGCCCCCUGGGCCGGCCCUGACACUGAGACGCGAAGGCGUGGGGAGCGAACGG
rnacentral:rRNA from 1 species